GGGUGAAAGGCCCCCUCGCCGUAAGCCCAAGGUUUCCUACGCAACGUUCAUCGGCGUAGGGUGAGUCGGCCCCUAAGGCGAGGCAGAAAUGCGUAGCUGAUGGGAAGCAGGUCAAUAUUCCUGCACCAUUGUUAGAUGCGAUGGGGGGACGGAUCGCGGAAGGUUGUCCGGGUGUUGGAAGUCCCGGUCGCUGCAUUGGAGAAGGCGCUUAGGCAAAUCCGGGCGC
rnacentral:rRNA from 1 species